rnacentral:lncRNA from 1 species
AAGUUCAUGUGUAAUAUCUUGUUGUGUGCUCUUCUUUGGGGGACUUUGACAUUGCCAACCCACCAUACAAUGAGCUUCAGAGUUGGAAAAUAGGAUAGAUCUUCAGGGAGUUUGGCACCUGUUUUAAUAACAAUGCAGCUCUGAGAAGAGUCUUCCAUUUGACUUGAUAAAAAUAGAAGUUUAGAAUCCUUCAGUCUAACUACCCAAGUGAAACACCAGGUCCUACUCCAAUAGAGUUGGAAGAAUAAACAGAGCAGGUUCAGUUCUUCAUUGGUCAACAAUUACUUUGCACCUUACUGUUGCUGAGCUUGCUUAUGGAGGAAAAGCAGUGCCUUUGGGAGGGAGAUGUUCCAGUAGGAAGAAAGAUGCUGCUGUGGCCAUGGAGGCAUUGAGAAGAGUGAGUGAGCAUGAAGAAGAUUUUUAAGUGAAUUUCAGUUUUCUCUUCAAAGCUAGGUUUUAGAAAA